rnacentral:sRNA from 2 species
GGGACGGGCCUUUCAGGCAUCCUCUCCUAAAGACUUUCAAGGCCGGCCCUUUUGGGUCGGCCCUUUUUUUGCCCGGC